AUUCUACAGGGGGGUCACAAAAAAUGCAUUCACUCAAAAACAGUGACUUUGUAUUUUUUUUUAAUGUAAAAUCGUGUUUACCAUGCAUCAUUAAAAUGCUUUUUUUCAACAACAAAAAAUGCAAUGUUUUAGAAAAUUUUUGGUGCCAGUUUAUAAAAUUCAUGUCCAACUAUUAAGUUACACCAAAAUUGAAAAAUCAUUUUUUUUUACCCAAAAUCGACUUUUUCACACUCCAGUAACUCCUGUGUGUGAUAGCGUGCAAACUUACCACAAUUCCGCGUCCUAAGAU